rnacentral:rRNA from 1 species
AGAGUUUGAUCCUGGCUCAGGACGAACGCUGGCGGCGUGCCUAAUACAUGCAAGUCGAGCGGACUGAUGGGAGCUUGCUCCCUGAUGUUAGCGGCGGACGGGUGAGUAACACGUGGGCAACCUGCCUGUAAGACUGGGAUAACUCCGGGAAACCGGGGCUAAUACCGGAUAACCCGUUCCACCUCAUGGUGGAGCGGUAAAAGAUGGCCUCUGGCUAUCACUUACAGAUGGGCCCGCGGCGCAUUAGCUAGUUGGUAAGGUAACGGCUUACCAAGGCGACGAUGCGUAGCCGACCUGAGAGGGUGAUCGGCCACACUGGGACUGAGACACGGCCCAGACUCCUACGGGAGGCAGCAGUAGGGAAUCUUCCGCAAUGGACGAAAGUCUGACGGAGCAACGCCGCGUGAGUGAUGAAGGUUUUCGGAUCGUAAAGCUCUGUUGUUAGGGAAGAACAAGUGCCGUUUGAAUAAGGCGGCACCUUGACGGUACCUAACCAGAAAGCCACGGCUAACUACGUGCCAGCAGCCGCGGUAAUACGUAGGUGGCAAGCGUUGUCCGGAAUUAUUGGGCGUAAAGCGCGCGCAGGCGGUCUCUUAAGUCUGAUGUGAAAGCCCACGGCUCAACCGUGGAGGGUCAUUGGAAACUGGGAGACUUGAGUACAGAAGAGGAGAGUGGAAUUCCACGUGUAGCGGUGAAAUGCGUAGAUAUGUGGAGGGACACCAGUGGCGAAGGCGACUCUCUGGUCUGUAACUGACGCUGAGGCGCGAAAGCGU